CCUACGGGUGGCAGCAGUGAGGAAUAUUGGUCAAUGGACGAGAGUCUGAACCAGCCAAGUAGCGUGAAGGAUGACUGCCCUAUGGGUUGUAAACUUCUUUUAUAUGGGAAUAAAAUGUUCCACGUGUGGGAUUUUGUAUGUACCAUAUGAAUAAGGAUCGGCUAACUCCGUGCCAGCAGCCGCGGUAAUACGGAGGAUCCGAGCGUUAUCCGGAUUUAUUGGGUUUAAAGGGAGCGUAGGUGGAUUGUUAAGUCAGUUGUGAAAGUUUGCGGCUCAACCGUAAAAUUGCAGUUGAUACUGGCAGUCUUGAGUACAGUAGAGGUGGGCGGAAUUCGUGGUGUAGCGGUGAAAUGCUUAGAUAUCACGAAGAACUCCGAUUGCGAAGGCAGUUCACUAGACUGCAACUGACACUGAGGCUCGAAAGUGUGGGUAUCAAACAGGAUUAGAUACCCUUGUAGUC
rnacentral:rRNA from 1 species